AAAUUUUUAAGAGCCGCGGUAUUUCUGACUGUGCAAAGGUAGCAUAAUCGUUAGUUUUUUAAUUGAAAUCUUGUAUGAAUGGUUUGACAAAAAAAAAACUGUCUUUAUGAUUAUUAAUUGAAUUUAACUUUUAAGUGAAAAGGCUUAAAUAAAUUAAAAAGACGAUAAGACCCUAUAAAGCAUUUUAUUGGGGUGAUAAUGGUAAAAUGAUUAACUGUUAAUUAAAUUAAGACAAAAAUAAAUGAAAUGAUCCUGUUUAAAGAUUAAGAGUUUAAGUUACUUUAGGGAUAACAGCGUUAUUUUUUUUGAGAGUUCUUAUCGAGAAAAAAGUUUGCGACCUCGAUGUUGAAUUAAAAUAUCUGUAUAAUUGUAGCAGUUAUAUGAGAAGGUCUGUUCGACCUUUAAAUUUUU
rnacentral:rRNA from 1 species